rnacentral:rRNA from 1 species
AUUGAACGCUAGCGGGAUGCUUUACACAUGCAAGUCGAACGGCAGCGCGGACUUCGGUCUGGCGGCGAGUGGCGAACGGGUGAGUAAUGUAUCGGAACGUGCCCAGUAGCGGGGGAUAACUACGCGAAAGCGUAGCUAAUACCGCAUACGCCCUACGGGGGAAAGCAGGGGAUCGUAAGACCUUGCACUAUUGGAGCGGCCGAUAUCGGAUUAGCUAGUUGGUGAGGUAACGGCUCACCAAGGCGACGAUCCGUAGCUGGUUUGAGAGGACGACCAGCCACACUGGGACUGAGACACGGCCCAGACUCCUACGGGAGGCAGCAGUGGGGAAUUUUGGACAAUGGGGGCAACCCUGAUCCAGCCAUCCCGCGUGUGCGAUGAAGGCCUUCGGGUUGUAAAGCACUUUUGGCAGGAAAGAAACGUCGCGGGCUAAUACCCCGUGGAACCGACGGUACCUGCAGAAUAAGCACCGGCUAACUACGUG